AACGCUGGCGGCGCGCUUAACACAUGCAAGUCGAGCGAGAACCGGGACUUCGGUCCCGGGGACAGCGGCGAACGGGUGAGUAACACGUGGGUAAUCUGCCCUCGAUUCUGGGAUAGCCCGGGGAAACUCGGAUUAAUACCGGAUAGCCUUUCGUGCUCUCGGGCACGAAAGAAAAGGUAGCUUCGGCCUCCGAUCGAGGAUGAGCCCGCGGUGGAUUAGCUUGUUGGCGGGGUAAUGGCCCACCAAGGCGACGAUCCAUAGCUGGACUGAGAGGACGAUCAGCCACACUGGGAGUGGGACACGGCCCAGACUCCUACGGGAGGCAGCAGUGGGGAAUCUUGCGCAAUGGGCGAAAGCCUGACGCAGCGACGCCGCGUGGGGGAAGAAGGCCUUAGGGUUGUAAACCUCUUUCAGGCGGGACGAAGCCACUCGGGUGAAUAGCCCAGAGGGUGACGGUACCGCCAGAAGAAGCCCCGGCUAACUACGUGCCAGCCGCCGCCGUAAUAC
rnacentral:rRNA from 1 species